rnacentral:misc_RNA from 1 species
UUAACUUGUUUAAAAUUUGCUCAGAUACCACAUAAAUAUAGAAUUAAAAACCUCCGGCAGGCACCAAACGAAUGGCCACGAACCCGCCCUGGGCUCGCCUGCCGAAGCAACUUGAGUAAAUACACAAAGGGUUGGAGUUUUUACGCUCGCUAAUGAUCCCUCCGCUGGUUCACCAACGGAGA